GACGUAGGAUGCAAGCGUUGUCCGGAAUUAUUGGGCGUAAAGAGUUCGUAGGCGGUUGCCUAAGUCUGGUGUUAAAGACCGAAGCUCAACUUCGGCAUGGCAUUGGAAACUGGGUGGCUAGAGUACGGUAGAGGUAUCGGGAAUUCCAGGUGUAGCGGUGAAAUGCGUAGAGAUGUGGAGGAACACCAGUGGCGAAGGCGGCUUUCUGGUCUGUAACUGACGCUGAGGCGCGAAAGCGUGGGGAGCAAACAGG
rnacentral:rRNA from 1 species